rnacentral:rRNA from 1 species
GACGAACGCUGGCGGCGUGCUUAACACAUGCAAGUCGAACGGAAAGGCCAUGCUUUUGUCUGGUGCUCGAGUGGCGAACGGGUGAGUAACACGUGAGUAACCUGCCCUUGACUCUGGGAUAACUUCAGGAAACUGGGGCUAAUACCGGAUAUGAGCUCCCGCUGCAUGGUGGGGUUUGGAGAUUUUUGGCGGUUGGGGAUGCGCUCGCGGCUUAUCAGCUUGUUGGUGGGGUAGUGGCAUACCAAGGCUUUGACGGGUAGCCGGCCUGAGAGGGUGAACGGCCACAUUGGGACUGAGAUACGGCCCAGACUCCUACGGGAGGCAGCAGUGGGGAAUAUUGCACAAUGGGCGGAAGCCUGAUGCAGCAACGCCGCGUGCGGGAUGACGGCCUUCGGGUUGUAAACCGCUUUCGCCUGUGACGAAGCGUGAGUGACGGUAAUUGGAAAAGAAGCACCGGCUAACUACGUG